rnacentral:lncRNA from 1 species
UGCCCUUUGCGCUGUUUCCUCCCGGCACAGCCCGCACGGCGCGGCCCCGCAGCGCCGAGGCCUCGAAAGCGACUUGCCCGGGGGCUGCCGGGGUCACUGGGGCGGUCGGGAGCGACAGGAGCCUGGGCCGAGUCACUUGGGCUCAUGCUGGCUGGGGUCGUGUUUUGGGGUCUUCAUGAGCCAGAAAAUGUCUGCAGAGCCCCUGACUAUUUUUUGGAGGUCUAAAGACUCCUUUGGGCAUUAUAAACGGAAGCGGGAGGAGACUGGAAGGAGCCAGAGCAUCUGUGGGAUUUCUUUAGUCUUCAGUAAAGAUCUUCAGUGAGUUACCUACCAUGGGAGUCGGGAUAUCAGCAGCUUCCAAAGUCAUAAAGUGCAGAAAGAAGUAAAGUGA